rnacentral:rRNA from 1 species
AUUGAACGCUGGCGGCAGGCUUAACACAUGCAAGUCGAGCGAGCGGCGGACGGGUGAGUAAUGUCUGGGAAACUGCCUGAUGGAGGGGGAUAACUACUGGAAACGGUAGCUAAUACCGCAUACCAUCGGAUGUGUCCAGAUGGGAUUAGCUAGUAGGUGGGGGAAAGGCUCACGUAGGCGACGAUCCAUAGCUGGUCGGAGAGGGUGACCAGCCACAAUGGAACGUGGACACGGUCCAGACUCCUCCGGGAGGCAGCAGUGGGGAAGAUUGCGCAAUGGGCGCAAGCCUGAUGCAGCCAUGCCGCGUGUAUGAAGAAGGCCUUCGGGUUGUAAAGUGCUUUCAGCGGGGAGGCGUUACCCGCAGAAGAAGCACCGGCUAACUCCGUGCCAGCAGCCGCGGUAAUUC